rnacentral:lncRNA from 1 species
GGAUUGGAAGUAACUGUGGGGCAGGCGGGGAUGAGGAGGUGGCAGAGGCCCGGGCCCUACACCCCUGGGUACGCACACUGUCCGCCUACCUGGAGCUCACCCACCCUGCACUCCAGCCUUGGGCUCUGACAACCACCCGGCCCACGGGACCAUGGCUCGGUGGCAGAGACCUCCCUGCAGACAUCAGCCGGAUCGUGGGGGCACUAGGACACCUGCCGUCAGUGGAGGACAUUGGCAGAACCCUACUAAAACCUGGAGAUUGGUGCUGGGCGGCAGUGCUAUGGGGCAACCCACUGCUGCCCAAUGCAGCCAAUGAUGCAAACACCGAGGGCCCCAGCCGUCGACCAGGC